UGUUCUGUGGCUUGGUUGGUUAAAGCACCGAAGUAGUGAUACGGAGUAGUGGGUUCAAAUCCCACCAAAACAA
rnacentral:tRNA from 1 species